CAGAGGUGUGACCUCACAUUGCCAGUUGUCC
rnacentral:piRNA from 1 species